CCUGUCUGUGUAGAUGAGGCAGGUGCCCUUUACUGGCUGUGCUGACUCUGACCUCACCUGCUUUACGCAGACAUUUCCAGCUUCAUCAGUAUGGAUAUUUGAAUUUUUUUUUUUACUGCUAUCAAAGGACUAAAGCAUUGUCGGUGCUUCCUUCUGCCCUAGGUGUAUGUUGUUACUCGACUCAACAUCUAACCCCUUAUUGCACCAGAAAGUAUGCUGAAAUUUCAGUAGGAAGAAAUGCUUCUACCAAAUGCAGAAUACAAAAAUGUAAGUCGCUGCCCUGAAUUUCUGUUGCCUUAUACAUUUCUUCUUACCACUGCUGAGCCAAUGUUUUCCUCUUUUAAUUUCUCUAUUAACUUUAAUUAGGCUCAUGAGUUUGCUGGCCAGGUGGGUUUUCCCUAAAUACCCACAACUCUGUUUUCCAGGCUAACAGUAGAAUUAAGUUAAGCUGCAGAUCUGAGGCAGAAUCUAACAUUAUAAGCUAUGGAAGGUUCCAAUGCCACUACAACUCAUUUUUAUCCACUGAGGAUUUCAGCAGGCAGCACUUUUAAUAAGCCAGGCUCGACAUUUUUCAAGGAAUACUUUGGGAUCCAUUUUUGAAAGCAAUAUUGGUUACGAUUCCACAGCUGGAAGAUUUCCGAGAAAAUAAUGUUUUGUCCUCUGGAAAACAUACUUGGUCCAUACGGCAUACAAAACAUAAUAACUCUAAGCAACCGGUUCUAAAUGUUAC
rnacentral:lncRNA from 1 species